GGGCCUAUAGCUCAGCUGGUUAGAGCGCACGCCUGAUAAGCGUGAGGUCAGUGGUUCGAGUCCACUUAGGCCCACCA
rnacentral:tRNA from 4 species